rnacentral:rRNA from 1 species
CCUUGUACACACCGCCCGUCACGUCACGAAAGUCGGUAACACCCGAAGCCAGUGGCCCAACUCCUCGGAGAGGGAGCUGUCGAAGGUGGGAUCGGCGAUUGGGACG